rnacentral:rRNA from 1 species
UACGUAGGGUGCAAGCGUUGUCCGGAAUUAUUGGGGCGUAAAGAGCUUGUAGGCGGUCUGUCGCGUCUGCUGUGAAAACUCAGGGCUUAACCCUGAGCUUGCAGUGGGUACGGGCAGACUAGAGUGCGGUAGGGGAGACUGGAAUUCCUGGUGUAGCGGUGAAAUGCGCAGAUAUCAGGAGGAACGACCGGUGGCGAAGGCGGCGUUCUGGACUGCAACUGACCACUGAGGAACGAAAGCCAGGGGAGCAAACGGG